rnacentral:rRNA from 1 species
CUCCUUUGACGUUAGCGGCGGACGGGUGAGUAACACGUGGGUAACCUACCUAUAAGACUGGGAUAACUUCGGGAAACCGGAGCUAAUACCGGAUAAUAUUUCGAACCGCAUGGUUCGAUAGUGAAAGGUGUUUUGCUAUCACUUAUAGAUGGACCCGCGCCGUAUUAGCUAGUUGGUAAGGUAACGGCUUACCAAGGCGACGAUACGUAGCCGACCUGAGAGGGUGAUCGGCCACACUGGAACUGAGACACGGUCCAGACUCCUACGGGAGGCAGCAGCC